rnacentral:rRNA from 1 species
AGUGAACGCUGGCGGUAGGCCUAACACAUGCAAGUCGAACGGCAGCACAGUAAGAGCUUGCUCUUACGGGUGGCGAGUGGCGGACGGGUGAGGAAUACAUCGGAAUCUACUUUUUCGUGGGGGAUAACGUAGGGAGACUUACGCUAAUACCGCAUACGACCUACGGGUGAAAGCAGGGGAUCUUCGGACCUUGCGCGAUUGAAUGAGCCGAUGUCGGAUUAGCUAGUUGGCGGGGUAAAGGCCCACCAAGGCGACGAUCCGUAGCUGGUCUGAGAGGAUGAUAAGCCACACGGGAACUGAGACACGGUCCAGACUACUACGGGAGGCAGCAGUGGGGAAUAUUGGACAAUGGGCGCAAGCAUGAUCCAGCCAUACCGCGUGGGUGAAGAAGGCUUUCGGGUUGUAAAGACCUUUUGUUGGGAAAGAAAAGCAGCAGGUUAAUACCCCGCUGUUCUGACGGUACCCAAAGAAUAAGCACCGGCUAACUUCGUG